UGAUUGCAGGCUCUCCGCGCAGGCGCUUUGAGGCACAGCUCCGCCCCGCCCCCUCACUGGUCGUACGGUGACAAUCAGGCUCCUGUCGGCGCCUAGCGUCUGGGCAGCGUCAGCCGCUACGUCCACCUUUUCCCUGUCUCUAGGGGUUUCUCCUCGCGCCGCUGUGUUCCAGCGCCGGCUCCGAGCUGGGAGGGUGACUGAGCCCUGAGCUUGGGCCCUCCGAGAGGUGCGUUAGCUCUGGGUCUUCUUGCCCCUACGCCCGAGCCUGGCGUUCUCUCGGCCCCCUCUUAGGAACGCUAGCCCUGGGCAGAAAUUGCCUUUGUGGCUGAAGUCGGCCAGCGUCGCGUUUCCACUCUCCCGCCGAAUCUGGACCCAAGCCAGCCUUCCCUUGUGCAUCGGUAGAUAGCUUGUGUUAAGGCGCCAGCUUCUUGGAACAGAGCUCUCUGCAAAAGUCGCGCUGAAGAAUUCAUAGUCAAAAGCUGAACUUGCAGAAGUUUCUACUUCUGGAAUGAGUGUUGAAAUGAGAUCAAUUCUGACAUUCAGUUUCGCUUUUGGGAUUAUGCCUUGGACUAACUCAGCUACUCUGAUGAGCUAAAGACUGUAGUAUAUUUGAAGGAAGACACGAGGAACUGUUUUGUAUUUUGUAGGGAUAGAACAGGACCUUGAGGAGAUUAUUAUAUGAAGACUAGUUAAAGAAACUAGCCUGGAGAUGGCUUAUGUACUCUCUCCUUUGUUUUUGUUUUGUUUUUUGAGACGGAGUCUCGCUGUCGCCCACGCUGAAGUGCAGUGGCGCGGAUCUCGGCUCAUUGUAACCUCCGCCUCCCGGGUUCAAGUGAUUCUCCUCCCUCAGCCUCCGGAGUAGCUGGGACUACAGGCAUGCAUCACCACGCCUGGCUAAUUUUUUUGUGUUUUUAGUAGAGACGGGGUUUCGCCAUGUUGGGCUGGCUGGUCUCGAGCUCCUGACCUCAAAUGAUUGGCCCGCCUCGGCCUUCCAAAGUGCUGGGAUUACAGGCGUGAGCCUCCGCGCCCGGCCUCUCUCCCCUUUGUUAUGGGCCCUAAAUGACUCUAUUUCCUCCUGCAUAUCACCUGCCCGACUCCUGUAGGCAUUUGAAUUGAUGAUUCAUGAUACGGUCUUUAGAGGCUCCAGAGGAAUUUGCAAAUUAUUAUCAUCCACUAAGUGAUUGCUGAUUACCUGAGAUACAGCAGCUCAAAAAGGACAAGGUCUCUGCCUAUGGGAGAGGUGACAAUAUAACCAGCAAAAAC
rnacentral:lncRNA from 1 species